rnacentral:rRNA from 1 species
AGCGAACGCUGGCGGCAGGCCUAACACAUGCAAGUCGAACGAAGCCUUCGGGCUUAGUGGCGGACGGGUGAGUAACACGUGGGAACGUACCUUUUGGUUCGGAACAACUCAGGGAAACUUGAGCUAAUACCGGAUGAGCCCUUAGGGGGAAAGAUUUAUCGCCGAGAGAGCGGCCCGCGUUAGAUUAGCUAGUUGGUGAGGUAAAGGCUCACCAAGGCAACGAUCUAUAGCUGGUCUGAGAGGAUGAUCAGCCAUACUGGGACUGAGACACGGUACACACUACUACUUGACGCAGCAGUGGGGAAUCAUGCGCAAUGGGAGAAAGCCUGACGCAGCCAUGCCGCGUGAAUGAUAAAGGUCUUAUGAUUGUAAAAUUCUUUUACCAGGGACGAUAAUGACGGUACCUGGAGAAAAAGCCCCGUCUAACUUCGUGCCAGCCGCCGCAGUAA